GCUUUUGCCAUAUCUCAGCAACCAACUACUUUUUCAAGAUGUCGAUUUUUAGUACAAGAUAAAGGGUCAAUGGUUUGUUAUUGAUGGAGAAGGGAGAAAAAGGACCUCAUCUACCUGCAGCAAUGAGUCCCUAAGUGUGGGAGGAACCUCUGUCACUCCUCGCCGGAUCUCCUGGCGGCAGCGCAUUUUCCUCAGGGUUGCUUCUCCCAUGAACAAAUCUCCCUCAGCAAUGCAACAGCAAGAUGGAUUGGACAGGAACGAGCUGCUGCCACUGUCUCCCCUCUCUCCAACCAUGGAGGAGGAACCGCUGAUUAUAUUCCUGUCUGGGGAGGAUGACCCAGAAAAGAUUGAAGGAAGAAAGAAAUCAAAAGAACUGAGGAGCUUGUGGAGAAAAGCUAUACACCAACAAAUCUUGUUGCUUCGAAUGGAAAAAGAAAACCAGAAACUUGAAGCAAGCA
rnacentral:sRNA from 1 species